GCCCCCGAGGCGGGAUUGGAGGAGAACUGGUCAGCUGACAAGGGUGGCGUUUCGAAAGCGCGCGGUAGGCCGUGCUGGGACUCAGAGCCCGAAAACUGAUUUGAGGGGCGUCUUGACCGAAGGUGACCAGCUCCUGGAGACGCAAUGGAGAACCUGAAUGUCCCCUCGCUCCCCUGGAGUCUGUAUGCUGAGGAAGGGGCUACAGACAAUAGCCAUGCACUCACCCAAAUAAGACAUUCUUCAUGAAUUGUGAUUCAACUGAAAGCUCCCCUUAAGUUUACUGUCAGGGUGCUGAUACACAGAGCUACUCCUAGAAGAUUGAGGGUACAGACUGUGAAACUGCAUUGCAAACAGUGGUCUCAGCUACUAAGGAGUAACAAACAGCUCUUUCAUCUGGAAGAACUGUGUGCAAAGGAAGGAGUGAGGAGAGAAGGGACACCCGGAACCUGAAGAACCUGUGACUUGGAUGCACAGCCUCUAAGUAAUCCCAAGUGAACCGUGUGAACCUGCAGUCAGUGUCUAUGGCCACGAGGCAGAACACACAAACACCAGGCCUCAAGAUUCUCACCAAGAUCGUGUCAUGAGACAGGACCUCGCCGCCCAGCCCCCGCCUCCCAAUAACAGGAUUACGAGGCUCAGUGCGGUUACUGCUGGCACAGCGAGCCACAGAUGUAGCCAGGACUGGGUGCCAAUCGACGGAUUCCCAAUAUUGUCUUCCAGUUGCUAGACUACGCUGCUUUCCAGUACAUUAUUUGGAAUAUAAAAACUAAAAUGAGAACAAUGUGACCGAAGGCAAUUGAUGUGAACACAAGAAUCAACAACAUAGAGGAGACACAGUCCCAGGUGUAAAGAGGGGAGCUGUCUCUCCCUGUGGCCUCAACAGAAGGAGAGGGUUGUCAGCCUAGGAUGCAGACUCACUGUCUCAUCCUAAGGGUCGGUCCAACUGCCAUAGGAGAUUUCGGAACAACUGUCCUCACUUGAGGGUCGACAUGCUGUACAGUCCAUGGGGCCCGCUGGACAGUCGCAGUCCCAGAUCACUUCUCCUACUGGCUUUCCUCAGGAGCUCACACUACCCGUCUCAGCCCCAAGAUGUUCCUUGUGUCUGCUCCUGUUCCUGACUCAAACACGGGUUGUUUGCCAUCAGUUCUGUACCCUGUUUUAUCAACAUUGUUAUUGUCAUAUCUUA